CUCUUCGAGUCGUCCGCGGGCUCCGCCCCACCCGGCUAGUGUGGGAGGUUCUGUCCCGCAGCCUUCGCGGGCGCGCUGCUCUCGGGGACGGUUCCUGCUCGCGUUGGGCGCGCCAUGGCGCGCUGGGCUGCUGCUCCUCGGCCUGCUCCGCCCUCUGGUGGCCGUCCCUGGGGCUGAUUUGAGUUAGCAGAUGCCUUUCGUGAUGGAGGAAACAGUGACCCAGCACCGCCUGAUCCCCCAAACCAAAGCCAGAUCCAAGCCCCAACCGACCUGGUUUCACUGGUAAGAGCCUCUAACCCUCCGGGUGGCCUCUAUGUCAUUUACCCGGCAGUGAUGUUCAUGUCAUCUGAGAAGAGGAGAUUUCAGGGGCUGACUUGGACUUCGCAGAUGCCUUUCAUGGUGGAGGAAAUCGUGAGUAGCUCUUUAAAGUCUCCUCUGUUGCUGACUUGCUUGUUAUCACUCAAUUAUUAUCAUUUGCGAGAGACUUACCUCUUGAGAAAUGAUCAAUGGAACUUGUUUGCACCAUAGAAACUUAGGGAGUAAGUGUGAUGUUGUUGUCUGUUUUUGAUGUUGUUGGACUUUUUUUUUUUUUUAUUUACCAGUUCACUUGCUUUUGUUUAGUCUUUGGAAUGAUGUAAGGCAAAUGUGACUCUCCUGGCCAUGUGAGGCGCACAGGCAUGCGACUUGUGAAGCCACCCAGGGAGCUGUGCUUACAAAGGUGCUAUAUUGGUUUACUGGUCUGUAGUUACCAUGUUGCUCUUCUUCAUACAGUUGGGAUGAGGGUCCCACAUUUUUGUUUUGCACAGGACCUUGCCAAUUCUGUCACUGGGCUAGACAGCUGCUUUAGUUUAAUUUGAUGUUAAACAAUGUAGCUGGAAGUGAUGGAAGAAAGUUGGCAGGAGGCUGUGUGUAUGGUUAUCCCUGCCAUGACAAGCAGCAAGCUCCAACUUUUACCUGAUCUGUCAGCCAUCUCUGUGCAAAUUGAUGUUGCAUUUUCUUUACUCUAAGACAGUCACAAUUGCAACUUUCAUUGUCACGAAGAGAUGACCCAGCACCUCCUAAUUCACCCAAGCCGAAGCCAAAUGCAAACCCUAAGCAACCUGGAUUCAUUGGGGAUGACUUUGACUUAGCAGAUUCCUUACAUGACAGAGGAAACUGUGAGUAACUCCUUAAAGUCUCCUCUGUUGCCGACUUGCUUAUUACCACCAAAUUAUUAUCGUUUCCAAAAAACAUACAUCUCUUGUGAAUGAUCAAUGAAACCUGUUUGCACAGUGGAAAAUUAGGGUAGGUGUGUCGUCGUUUGUUUUUGAUGUUGUUGGACUGUUUUUUCUUUUUUUUUUUCUUUUUUUUUUCUUUUUUUUUACCAGUAUGCAUAGUUUUAUUUUAAAAUUCUUACAGUCUUUGGAAUGAUGUAAGGCAAAUGUGACUCCCCUGGCCAGGUUAGGCUUCAUGAGUGGGUGACUUGUUCGAUCACCCAAGGACCCAUGCUUACAAGGGUACCAUAUUGGUUUAUGAGUCUGUAGUUGUCAUCUUGAAAUUCUUAAUACAGUUGAACAAGGGUUUCUGUAUUUUCAUUUUACACAGUACCUUGCCAAUUCUAUAGCUGAUCUGAAAAGCUGCCUGAUAGGUUUUGUUGAAAAUACUUGAAGAUAAGUACUGUAGCUGGAAGAUGUUGGAAGGAUAUUGGCAGCAGACUGUAUGGGUAUCCCCACCAUGACAAAGAACAAGGUCCAGUUUUUAUCUGUUUAGUGAACGUCUGUAUGCACAUUGAUGUUUCAUUUUCUUCACUGCAAGGCGCUCAUAAUCGCAACUCGCAUCUUACAAACAGAUGAGCCAGCACCACCUGACACACCCAAACCAAAGCCAAGUCCAAACCCCAAGCAGCCUGAUUCCACUGUCAUUUGACACUCCUCUCUGUGUCAGUGUCUGAGGCACCCUGGGACCGUCCUGACUGGAAAGCACAGUGACAUUGCUGGCCUGAGCUGAAGUGCUGAUUAAAAUAAAUUGAAAGCUGAAUGACCUUAUGAAGAGCUGCUUUACCCAGGAACAAAUAUGGAGAGGAACUCCUUGCAACUGUGUUCUCAAGUAGACCACUUUUGAGAAAUUAUACAUUUAUCAUAACACCUCAAGUCCUGCUCUGCAUAGAAUGACCAUUAUUAUCAAGAAAAGUUCUCCAUUCCCUGUGAUUCAUAAGGAAAUGCAGGCCUAACCAGAAAACAGGAGCUGCGACAACCUUGGGCUUGAGAGCAGUGGCUCGAUCUCAGCUCACUGCGACCUCCACCACCCGGGAUCAGACGACUCUGCUGCCUCUGCCUCCCAAGCAGCUCAACUUCAGCACCUCAUUCUUUGUCUAAGCCAAGUUUAGCCGAAGAAAACACCUGCCGAGAAGCGAACCUCAGGAACUUUGGACUCCACAGCACUAGGACCACUCUCAGGACUUCCAGUCUCUACUGGGUGCAGGAAUCACUGGGGAGUCGGACUGAAAUGCAGACCCUGAUUAAGGAGGCCUGGGACACGAGGCCUGAGAUUCUGCAUCUCCAGUAAGCACCCAGAGGAUGUUGAUGCUGCUGAUCCAGGGACCACACCUUGGAGAGCAAUGCUGAGAAGCUGGUGGAAGAGCCCCGGCUGAUGAGGAUCUGAACAUUGUCCGUAGCAGGGAGGCUGGGAAAAUGAGAUAAAAAUGUUAAAAAUGGCAGAGUUACCUUCCUGGAGAAGAAACGGCUUUUCCAUUCCUUAUUACGCUCAUGUCUUUGCAACUAGCCCCCAGUGGUCUCCUUCCUGCUAUAUACCUGCAGUUACCAUGUUCUUGUUAAGGAAGAAUUGCAAAUGAAAAAAAAAAAAAGAAGUUGAUCAUGUUUGGUUGCUUUUGGUCAUGUUUGGUCAUCAUAAUAAGCAAAUAAAAUCUGAAAUUUCCCCCUGACUUUGCAAAUGU